rnacentral:rRNA from 1 species
CACGGGGUUGCGAGCGUUGUCCGGAAUUACUAGGCGUAAAGGGCAGGCAGGCGGAUCCAUAAGUUUAUCGUUUAAGGUGUCGGCUUAACCGGCGUAGGGCGGUAGAUACUGUGGAUCUGGGAUGCGGUUGGGGAAGACAGAAUUCCUGGUGUAGCGGUGGAAUGCGCAGAGAUCAGGAGGAAUACCGAAGGCGAAGGCAGUCUUCCAAGCCGUUAUUGACGCUCAACUGCGAAGGUGUGGGUAUCAAACAGGAUUAGAUACCCUGUAGUCCCUGA